CGAUCAUCUGAGAUAAGAUACGUGUAGGUAUUAUAAUCAGUUAAAAACGAUUUUUUUGCGCUUUAAUUAUCACAAAUUUGCAGGUAGUCGAAUAGUUGGAGGCACGCGAUAUUCAUUUUUCCAUCAAUUUGAAGCAAUUUGCAUGUUUGAUUUAUGAUCUCGAGAAUAAGACUGUUUUAAUAGGCAGGGGCUUAAAUUUGGUGGGCAUUUAGCCGGAUUUAAAAAUAUCACCGUUGCGUCAGCAUAGAGUUCCACAAAGGGUAUUUUAAGAAUUCGUUUUAUUACCUUUUGCAUUUUUUCGAUAGUCAAGGCGGCAUCAAUUAGCAUAGCAUUAAGAAGGCUUGAAAUAAGUGUGUGCAAUUUUUCAAAACCAAUGAUACUUAAAAGGCGAAUUUAAAGUGUUGAACCGAUUUAAAAUCAAAUUUUUACUGUCGAAGAAUGUACUAGUGGAACAAGGCAGAAACAUGGAAGUCUGGGUUAGAAAGAGAAGAAACUGGGCAGUUUGUAUUUACUGUAAGCGCCCAAUACCAAUCAAGUUACGGCCGAAGACAGACAACUGGAUAUGUGCUUUCGCUCUCUCCAAUGCAGGCAUUUGUUGCGCUCCUAGUGCUCUGUUACCUCGCUUGUAAGUGUUUAUUUCAUAAUUUAGCUGACUGAAGCUGAUUAAAAACGACUGAUGGAUUUAUUAACCAACUCUGUCCCUAUGCAAUAUUUGACUUGUUUUAUACGGUUUAUAAAUCAAGCUGGUUUUACAGGCCGUUGUUCUCAAUGCAGUGCACAUAAGGUUGAACAUUUAAUUAGGCGAUAAAUUCGCUUUUAUCUCCUUAAAGAGUAACGGUAGUUGAGGAAAAGUUCUUAUUUAAUUUACUACGUACGAUAAUAUACAUCUUUUAUAAGGUGAGAAAUACAUUCUACUUGCGUGGUUUACUCUUCUCUUGUAGUUUUUUAUCAUUGAUUACAACGUGAGUGGCUCGCAAACUGCUAACCACUUUUUCAACGGAAUGGAAAGCUCAACUCAACAAGUAUGUGUGCUGUCGAAAGAUAUUUGCCAACGAUAAACAUGAUAAAUCUCCUGCUUUCAGCAACCAGCUUGAUGUAUUCGUUUUGCGUCCUUUUAACAGUCUAUUUCAAGUGAAAAACAUUUUCAUUUGAGUUUUUCUCUGGUAUUUCCAAGCGAUAAUUAUACGCUGGAGUAAUCGACCUUAUAGUCGAUGAAAAAUGCACCUGAAUGUGGCAUGGAAGCAAAAAAAAUUGACAAGGCUGACCCAGUUUGUAACAUGUAGCAGCUACAGAAAUAUUCAUUUCAAUUACUUGAUUUCUUUGGGAUUUAAUAAUGAUCAAGCGGACAAAAGUGUUUAGAAGUUCUUAUCUGAACCCAAACGAAUUUCCAGCAGUUAUUCGAUUGCAUUAUGCAUGUUCGUAGGUACCUGUUAAGAUUACUGACCGUGAUCUUCAUCAUAACAGAAAAAUAUGCAAUAUUUACGGUAUUGUAUUGUGAAGGUUAUUGGGCUUGGCUGGCUUUUGUUAAGGUUAAUCUUCACUGGCGGAAGCAAUUUAACUAAGGUGGUCAACUUGAACUAUCUAUUUCCCAAUUGUAAUCUUCUGGCACGGGGAAAAUUUCAAUUUCCUCAUUUAAAUGUGAACAGCCCAUGAUUGUUUUUUAAAAUCCCACUGUGGUUUAUACGGGAAGUUGACUCGUUGCGAUGUUAUUAAUUAUUUGCCGGGAAUUUCACAGUGUACAAUCGACUUAAAUAGAUUUAUUAUUUAUUUUUAAUGUAUGGUAUAAUCAUUGGGUGCCGUGUAAUCAGUGAAUAUUUCCAAGGCUGGAAGAUGAUAUAUUUUCCAAAUAUAUAUACAAGUGUAACUGAAAA